AUUGAACGCUGGCGGAAUGCUUUACACAUGCAAGUCGAACGGCAGCACGGACUUCGGUCUGGUGGCGAGUGGCGAACGGGUGAGUAAUACAUCGGAACGUGCCCAGUCGUGGGGGAUAACGUAGCGAAAGCUACGCUAAUACCGCAUACGAUCUAAGGAUGAAAGCGGGGGAUCGCAAGACCUCGCGCGAUUGGAGCGGCCGAUGGCAGAUUAGGUAGUUGGUGGGGUAAAGGCUCACCAAGCCGACGAUCUGUAGCUGGUCUGAGAGGACGACCAGCCACACUGGGGCGGAGGGACGGCCCAGACUCCUACGGGAGGCAUCAAUGGGGAAUUUUUGACAAUGGGGGCAACCCUGAUCCAGCAAUGCCGCGUGAGUGAAGAAGGCCUUCGGUUUGUAAAGCUCUUUUGUCAGGGAAGAAACACCGGCUCUAACACAGUCCGGGAAUGACGGUACCUGAAGAAUAAGCACCGGCUAACUACGUGCCAGCCGCCGCCGUAA
rnacentral:rRNA from 1 species